rnacentral:rRNA from 1 species
AACGAACGCUGGCGGCAGGCCUCAAACAUGCAAGUCUAGGGGUGUAGCAAUACAUCACCGGCGGACGGGUGCGUAACGCGUGGGAAUAUACCUAUCGAUUCGGAACAACUGAGGGAAACUUCAGCUAAUACCGAAUACGUCCUAACGGAGAAGAUUUAUCGUCGAUAGAUUAGCCCGCGUUCGAUUAGCUAGUUGGUGGGGUAACGGCCCACCAAGGCGACGAUCGAUAGCUGUUCUGAGAGGAAGAUCAGCACACUGGGACUGAGACACGGCCCACGACUCCUACGGGAGGCAGCAGUUGGGAAUCUUGGACAAUGGGGGGAAACCCGUGAUCCAGCCAUGCCGCGUGAGUGAU